rnacentral:lncRNA from 1 species
UUGACUCGGCGAUGCGGUAUGUGAGUUAGCUCGGGUCCAAGGGCCGUUUUGGAACUGUUUUGAAGUUUUGGUGCUCAUGUUCUGGACCUUCAAUUGGAAUGCCAAUGAAAAUGCUUUGGAGUUUGAAUUCAAAGUGAUUGGUUCGUGGCAUUGGACUGAUGUAGGAUUAGAUUAUGAGUUUAGAAUGACGAUUGUAAUCUUUUUAGUUUUGCAUUU